AGCGGGGUGGGGUAGCCAGGUUAACCCGCUGGGCUCAUAACCCAGAGAUCGGUUGUUCAAAUCAACCCCCCGCUACCA
rnacentral:tRNA from 1 species